GACAGAGGGUGCAAACGUUGUUCGGAAUUACUGGGCGUAAAGCGUGUGUAGGCGGCUCGGCAAGUCGGAUGUGAAAGCCCUGGGCUCAACCUAGGAAGUGCAUUCGAAACUGCAGAGCUUGAGUUCUGGAGAGGAAGGCGGAAUUCUCGGUGUAGAGGUGAAAUUCGUAGAUAUCGAGAGGAACACCUGUGGCGAAGGCGGCCUUCUGGACAGUGACUGACGCUGAGACGCGAAAGCGUGGGGAGCAAACAGG
rnacentral:rRNA from 1 species